rnacentral:lncRNA from 1 species
AAUACAAUUUUUACCAAAAAAAUAACACUGAUUCAAUUGGUAAAUAUGAAAAACACAACCACAAAAUAAAAAUAUACAUUUUCUACUAAGGAAGACAACAUUACCUGCACAUGGAUGAAGGAGAUAAAAAAAAUUCGGUUGUAGAUAAUCCUUGAUCAAUUGUCACAAAACUUGUCUCUUUAUUUGACAUAAAUCAUAAGAGAAGAAACACUAAAAUCAAAGCAAGACAAUAGUAAGGGCACAUAAAAUAUGACUUGUAAUAGUGAAGCAAAAUAACAUGAAAUCAACAUACCUCAUAAAACAGAGUUGCAGCAAGAAUGAAAAACAGAGUUGCAACAAAUUUCAUAAAACCACAUAAUCAUUCAUUAUUUUCAGCACUAAUACACACAUAUAUAACAGAAAAUCAAAGAUUUCAUAU